rfam:Danio rerio chromosome 4, GRCz11 reference primary assembly.
GGUAGCGUGGCCGAGCGGUCUAAGGUGCUGGAUUAAGGCACCAGUCUCUUCGGGGUGUGGGUUCGAAUCCCACCGCUGCCA